GUACGAACCGCGUGGCCGGCGUGCCUAAGUACAUGCAAGUCGAGCGGAGCGGGAACCAAACGAGAUUUACUUCGGUAAUGACGUUGGGAAAGCGAGCGGCGGAUGGGUGAGUAACACGUGGGGAACCUGCCCCUAAGUCUGGGAUACCACUUGGAAACAGGUGCUAAUACCGGAUAAUAAAGCAGAUCGCAUGAUCAGCUUUUGAAAGGCGGCGUAAGCUGUCGCUAAGGGAUGGCCCCGCGGUGCAUUAGCUAGUUGGUAAGGUAACGGCUUACCAAGGCGACGAUGCAUAGCCGAGUUGAGAGACUGAUCGGCCACAUUGGGACUGAGACACGGCCCAA
rnacentral:rRNA from 1 species